rnacentral:rRNA from 1 species
UACGGAAGGGGCAAGCGUUGUUCGGAAUCAUUGGGCGUAAAGGGGCGCGAUAGGUGGUUCUGGUAUGUCUACCGUGAAAGCGAUGACGGCUCGAACCGUAUUUUGUCGGUAGAAACUGCAGGACUUGAGGCUGGGAGGGGGCUGGUGGGAAUUCCCUGUGGUAGCGGUGAAAUGCGUAGAGAAUGGGGGAGAACACUCGUGGCGAAGGCGGCCAGCUAGACCAGUUCUGACACUGAGGCGCGACAGCGUGGGGAGCAAACAGGG